UUGCGAUCGUAGAGGGGCAGAAGGCAAGGUGAAACCCUAGUUUCACCAACUUCAUCAAAUUCAGUAGGAAUCUCAAUGAAAAUCGGAUGCAUGAACCUCAAUUUGCAAACAUCUAACCUUGUUCAGUAAAGUGGUAUGACAUAGAUGGGAAACAACGGGUCACAAGGAUAGCAUGGAAGACAACACCUCUAUGGAAAAAGGUGAGUGACGCUUUACUCAUGUAGCAUGUUUUAUUAAUUAUAUAAAUACCUUUGUGAAAAUAUUUAUAUGGUGUGCGGUAAGAAUUGUAGAGGAGAGUUAAUCUUAGUACGAAGUUGUGUGAUAAUGGUAAUUAUUGUCGGUGAUAUAAAUAUCCGAGUUUAUUAGUAUGAUUAAAUCAUAAACAAGGUGAUGGAAGUAAGAUGCAGAUACUGGGAAUAAUGAGCAGUGUAGACUUACCACAAGAUCGUUUAUUGAGUAUUGAGUAUAAGGUAUGUGAUCUUUAUAUAUAUUUAGUUUGUCUAAUAUACGAAGUAAAGGAAUUGGAACUAAUAGGGAUAAGAUUAUUGGAAACAGGGUUGGUGGAUUAAACCAAGGGGUGGUAAGUAUCGAGUAUGGGAUUUUUGUAAUAUUAAAAGGGAUUUAAUCGUGAUUUAUGAAUUGACUAGUACGGAAGGAAUUGUUUAUAAGUAGUCUAUUAUCGGAUGGUCAUAUGCAUGACUAGGGAGGUGUGUUAAUUGAGUUGAAGUGAAUAGGAUGGUAUGUAGGUAUGAAGAAUUGGUGUCAUGGUGAGUUUAAAUCGUAUAAACUAGUAUGCAUGAUGUGUAUGGAAAAUACAUAUAUAUAUAUAUAUAUACAUAUGCAUGUUCAUAGUUAUGCGAAAGGCGUACAUUAUGUGAUAGUUAAAUAGAUGUAUAUAAACGGUUGGCACCCUUUUUACGAAGAUGUAGUACUUGAACAUGUUGAGAUUACGGGUUUGCUAACCAAGUUAUUAUUGAGUAUGUUUGAAAGUGCAGGUUAUGUAUGUCGGACUUUCGAAGUGUUGAUAUAGAAAUAAAAUGAUUGAAUAAUGGAAGGUUAAUUGGGUGGAAGUAACUUAUGCGGUUAGAAUACGCUAUGGACGUUUUAGUUUAUACAAUAUUUUAUGCUUGGUCGUCAUCAUCUACUAACGGGUAAAUCCUCAAUUUAGGCGACUUGGAGAAUCGGAGCGAGCGCUGUUCAUGUUAUGUCAUACCAAACGCUUCCGCUAGCUUGUCCAAAUGUUUUUGGUCCAAAAAUUUUUGUAACGGUUUUUAGUAGUAUUUUGUUGAACGAAUUGUAGAAUUGUAUCUAGUUUGAUUAUGAUUAAAACAGGGGUAUGCCCGUUUUACGGACGGGUCAUGCCCAAAUUUUGUUAAAAUUAAUGCAUAUGUUAUUGAUAUCA